rnacentral:sRNA from 1 species
CUGAAAGGAGUCGCCAAUUGGGAAGAUGGCCAUACGGGGAACCUUCUCUGAUCCUCCUGUGAAGAAAGCAUUCACAGGAUGAUGCCAGGUAGCUCAAGCAAUGUCUCAGCUCCACCAUCAGGGCCUCAAGGACAGAACAAGGACAGAAUAAGAUAAAGGAGAGAGACACAAGGCUGGCAGCUGGUG